rnacentral:rRNA from 1 species
GGGGAAGGGUAGCUUGCUACCUGACCUAGCGGCGGACGGGUGAGUAAUGCUUAGGAAUCUGCCUAUUAGUGGGGGACAACAUUCCGAAAGGAAUGCUAAUACCGCAUACGCCCUACGGGGGAAAGCAGGGGAUCUUCGGACCUUGCGCUAAUAGAUGAGCCUAAGUCAACAUUAGCGUAGUCCGGUGGGGUAAAGGCCUACCAAGGCGACCAUCUGUAUCGGGUCUGAGAGGAUGAUCCGCCACACUGGGGACUGAGACACGGCCCCAACUCCUACGGGAGGCAGUACUUGGGGAAUAUUGGACAAUGGGCGAAAGCCUGAUCCAUCCAUGCCUCGUGUGUGAAGAAAGCCUUUUGGUCGUAACAGCACUUUAAGCCAAGGAUGGAGGCCUACCUGAUAUUAAUACUGCUUGGAAAGUCGGCCGUUUAUUCGCAGAAUAAGUCACCGGCCUAACUUCUGGUGCCACUCAACCCCGUGGACAAUACAGAAGGCUCCCGAGC